AGCGAACGCUGGCGGCAGGCCUAACACAUGCAAGUCGAACGAACUCUUCGGAGUUAGUGGCGGACGGGUGAGUAACACGUGGGAACGUGCCCUUAGGUACGGAAUAACUCAGGGAAACUUGAGCUAAUACCGUAUGUGCCCUUCGGGGGAAAGAUUUAUCGCCAUUGGAGCGGCCCGCGUCUGAUUAGCUAGUUGGUGAGGUAAAGGCUCACCAAGGCUACGAUCAGUAGCUGGUCUGAGAGGAUGAUCAGCCACAUUGGGACUGAGACACGGCCCAAACUCCUACGGGAGGCAGCAGUGGGGAAUCUUGCGCAAUGGGCGAAAGCCUGACGCAGCCAUGCCGCGUGAAUGAUGAAGGUCUUAGGAUUGUAAAAUUCUUUCACCGGGGACGAUAAUGACGGUACCCGGAGAAGAAGCCCCGGCUAACUUCGUG
rnacentral:rRNA from 1 species